ACGCUCGACACCUACGGGGGCAGCAGUCGGGAAUAUUGCGCAAUGGAGGAAACUCUGACGCAGUGACGCCGCGUGCAGGAAGAAGGUUUUCGGAUUGUAAACUGCUUUAGACAGGGAAGAAUAAUGACAGUACCUGUAGAAUAAGCUCCGGCUAACUACGUGCCGGCAGCCGCGGUAAUCUGAGCGGGCUGGCAAGGC
rnacentral:rRNA from 1 species